rnacentral:rRNA from 1 species
GAUGAACGCUGGCGGCGUGCCUAAUACAUGCAAGUCGAGCGAACGGACGAGAAGCUUGCUUCUCUGAUGUUAGCGGCGGACGGGUGAGUAACACGUGGAUAACCUACCUAUAAGACUGGGAUAACUUCGGGAAACCGGAGCUAAUACCGGAUAAUAUUUUGAACCGCAUGGUUCAAAAGUGAAAGACGGUCUUGCUGUCACUUAUAGAUGGAUCCGCGCUGCAUUAGCUAGUUGGUAAGGUAACGGCUUACCAAGGCAACGAUGCAUAGCCGACCUGAGAGGGUGAUCGGCCACACUGGACCUGAGACACGGUCCAGACUCCUACGGGAGGCAGCAGUAGGGAAUCUUCCGCAAUGGGCGCAAGCCUGACGGAGCCACGCCGCGUGAGUGAUGAAGGUCUUCGGAUCGUAAAACUCUGUUAUUAGGGAAGACCAUAUGUGUAAGUAUCUGUGCACAUCUUGACGGUACCUAAUCAGAAAGCCCCGGCUAACUACGUG